rnacentral:misc_RNA from 1 species
AUGAAUUGUAAUCGGAGCUGAUGCUGGCGGCUUGGCUGCAUGUGCUCGCUCUUAACAAUCUUUAUCCAAACACCUGUGCACAUUUAGAGAGGGUCUCCGAGUUCUCCUUGGAGUCCCUUCCUCUCAUUAUACACUAGUUUUUAAUAUUGAACGUGAUUGUGCCGUGAGGCCUUAAUAUCAAUA